UUUAUAGUGUUAAUAAUAAGUGGUGGUGGUUGCAAUAAUUGAUAGCUAAGUAGUAAUGGUGGCUAAAUGGUGUUGGUGGUGGUGGUGGCAAAAUGAGAUAGUGCUAUAGUAGUAGUUAGGUGGUGGUAAAGAUGGCAGUGGUUAAGUGGCGAUAGCGAUAGAGGCGGUGAUGGCAGCAUUGGUGGUCAUGGUGGUAGUGGCAGUGAGGGCCAGGUAAUGAUAAUGGUGACAAUAGUGUUGACAAUAAAUAAAAAA
rnacentral:misc_RNA from 1 species